rnacentral:rRNA from 1 species
CAUAGGUUAAUGAGGCGAACCGGGGGAACUGAAACAUCUAAGUACCCCGAGGAAAAGAAAUCAACCGAGAUUCCCCCAGUAGCGGCGAGCGAACGGGGAGGAGCCCAGAGCCUGAAUCAGUGUGUGUGUUAGUGGAAGCGUCUGGAAAGGCGCGCGAUACAGGGUGACAGCCCCGUACACAAAAAUGCACAUGCUGUGAGCUCGAUGAGUAGGGCGGGACACGUGGUAUCCUGUCUGAAUAUGGGGGGACCAUCCUCCAAGGCUAAAUACUCCUGACUGACCGAUAGUGAACCAGUACCGUGAGGGAAAGGCGAAAAGAACCCCGGCGAGGGGAGUGAAAAAGAACCUGAAACCGUGUACGUACAAGCAGUGGGAGCACGCUUAGGCGUGUGACUGCGUACCUUUUGUAUAAUGGGUCAGCGACUUAUAUUCUGUAGCAAGGUUAACCGAAUAGGGGAGCCGAAGGGAAACCGAGUCUUAACUGGGCGUUAAGUUGCAGGGUAUAGACCCGAAACCCGGUGAUCUAGCCAUGGGCAGGUUGAAGGUUGGGUAACACUAACUGGAGGACCGAACCGACUAAUGUUGAAAAAUUAGCGGAUGACUUGUGGCUGGGGGUGAAAGGCCAAUCAAACCGGGAGAUAGCUGGUUCUCCCCGAAAGCUAUUUAGGUAGCGCCUCGUGAAUUCAUCUCCGGGGGUAGAGCACUGUUUCGGCAAGGGGGUCAUCCCGACUUACCAACCCGAUGCAAACUGCGAAUACCGGA